UACGGAGGUGGCGAGCGUUGUUCGGAAUUACUGGGCGUAAAGGGCGCGUAGGCGGGGAGGUAAGUCGGGUGUGAAAUCCCUCGGCUCAACCGAGGAAGUGCGCCCGAAACUGCUUCUCUUGAGUCCCGGAGAGGAAGGUGGAAUUCCCGGUGUAGCGGUGAAAUGUGUAGAGAUCAGGAGGAACACCGGUGGCGAAGGCGGCCUUCUGGACGGUGACUGACGCUGAGGCGCGAAAGCGUGGGGAGCAAACGGC
rnacentral:rRNA from 1 species